AAAAAGGGUGCUUGUUACUGGAUAGCACACGAGUCCUAUGGAUUCGUGGGGUAUGGGAAUCAAGACAUACCCAGCACGCAAUUUUUGUACGCGUGGGGCUGUUUCUUGGCACUGUCUCAGAGACGCCCCC